rnacentral:rRNA from 1 species
AAAUCACUUGUCUCUUAAUUGGAGUCUGGAAUGAAUGGUUGGAUGAAAAUUUUUCUUUCUUUAUUUUUUACAAAAAAUUUAAUCUUUAAAUUAAAAAGUUUAAAUAUUUAUAUAGGACGAGAAGACCCUAUAGAACUUUAUUCCCCCAAAAUAAUUAUUUUUUUGGAAAUAAUUUUUUAUUAUUUGAUGGGGAAUUUUGUUGGGGUGACAGAAAAAAUUUUAUAACUUUUUUUAUUUUUUUCAUUUAUAUAUGUAUUUUUGAUCCUUUAUUAUGGAUAAUAUGAUUAAGUUACCUUAGGGAUAACAGCGUUAUUGUUUUAGAGAGUUCAUAUUGAUAAAGCAGUUUGCGACCUCGAUGUUGGAUUAAAAUUAGUCUUAGGGGCAGAAUAUUAAUUGACUGGGUCUGUUCGACCUUUAAAUUUUUACAUGAUC